GUCUGAGGCAGCUGUACCGUGUGAAUUGGAUGGAUAGUUCAUUGGAAAGAACAAUUAACCAAGGUCUACCAACAUUCUCUCAUCUCCUGACUCGGUCUAUACCGGAGUUGAAAUCUGUUAAUCUGAACAGGAAAGUUUCCAGGUAUCAUGCAUAAAGAUGUUGAAAGAAAACACGGGGCGGCAAGACUUUUAAAUGGAAUUGGCAAAACUGACUACUUUGAUGAAAGACAAAAUCUAGCUUUCUUAUUAGUUGGAAAACACUUUUGGACAUCUUGCUUGAGAAAGAUAAAAAUGGAGUUUUGAUUUUAGGAUUUGAUUAUUGAAUUUAUUAUGAGUAUAGAAAAAUGUGUAUUUCAUUUUUAUUAUUAAACAUAUAUAUUAUAUAUUUUUAAAUGUCUCGGUUUAAACCUAGAGUAAGGUUAUUUUGUUACAUAAUUCUAAUGCUAUUUUGAUUGUCUAAUCUGUAUUUUUAUAUGAUGGAUUUGUGCUUUUGUUUUAAUUAAGAGUGUGAGGUUAUUCUACCAUAUAUACAGGUAUUUGUAUCUAUACUGAAGAAAGUUGGAAAUCAAUCUUUUUUUUUCUUAUCACUUUUUAACUUUCCCCCUUUUGACCUCCCUU